rnacentral:lncRNA from 1 species
AUGGCAGCGUGCCCAGGCAGCUCGUUGCUCUGGCGCUGCAGUGGAGCUGGAAAAGGCAGGGAGGGGAUACGGGAGCACAGCUCUGUCCUUGCCACGGCUGGAGGCUCCCUGACCAUCGCUCUCUUCAGCCAGCACAGCCCCACUGCGGCUCCUGCCCGUGGGGCUGCACAGCCACGGCACAGAAUGAAACCUCCCUCACGAACUCAGAUCCCAGAGCUACUGACAAACCAGAAGACUUUGCACUCUUUGCUGAACCUUCUUUGCCUUCUCUGCCACCCAGAGAGCCUGGGAGCCUGCUCUGUGUGGACUUCACCCAGUGUCACAGGUGACACUUGUCACUGUCCUUUUUUUAGUAUGUGGGGGAAAACAAUCCUCCGUCAGUCUGAGAAUGCUUUACAUUCAAACAGGUGAGACAAAAUGAGGAAUAGGCUUCAUCUCAGAUUUUUGCCUCAACCAGAAUUUGAAGCAGAGUUUUCUUAGGAUUCUCAAAAUACAUUCUAAAAGAGUACAGGAGAUGUUGAUUUUGGGGUUCCCUGGGCCAUACUCCUCCCAGUUUCUUUCUUUUGCUCUAAUUAUCAUCCUCUUUCCUGUAACUUGGCUGCACUUUCUCAUCACUCAAACAGAGACAGCCUCUGAGACCUACACACAUGGUAUAGAUAGAUAGAGGCUGGAAACGAAAGGUAUUGCUCCCAUGCUGGGCAAGACAGAAAUAGAAGAGAUAAAGCUUUUGCUAGGGCUGGGAAGUCUGAGAGCCACAGAAAGGCACACAGGUGUAAAUCCACAAAUUCACACUGUGAGAACGGCUGGACUUGGCGUGGGUGGCACCAGGCAGCUCCACAGUGCACAGCUGACAUUGCAGGGAAGCUGUGACAAACCUCAGGCCAGAAUGCAGGUUUUAUCCUCGGGGUUUGAGUGCAGGUUUAAACACACACAGAGCUGCUGGCGGUUGUUUGUCACGCCGGGGUUCAGAGGUUACCUGUGCACUGGCAGCACAGACACCUGGCUCUGGGGGCUGCCCUUUCCCCAGCACUGCCAGAGCAGCCCUGCUGCCACAGCUCCAGCACACAGUUGUUAUUAUACUGAUAGUCAGUGGUAAUGAUUCUCAAGACACACCAACAAGAGGGAAUUUUUUGGCUGGUGGAGCUGUACCAGGUGCCUGGCUGCCAUAAGUGAAGAUGGCACCUUUCUGCUGAGAGCUGAGCACACAGAAGAGGUCUGCCAGUGUAGCAGCGAGAACUAGAAUUGUGGACUAAUUUUCUAAUUUAAAAAAUAAUUAUCUGUCAUGAUUGUUCCAGAAAUCUUAAAAAUAUGAGACCAAAAGACCCUAGAACUAUUAAAAUUAUUUAAAUCAAAUAUUAUAAUUUAAUUUUUUUUUAUUUAAUCUCAUUAUUUGCAGUAAUGGGGAAGCACA